rnacentral:rRNA from 1 species
UUAGCGAUAGCUGGUUUCUCAAGAAAAGAAUUUAGUUCAACAUAAAAUAAUUUUAACCCCCCCCACCCAAUUACACCCCUUUAUUUUAAAGCAAUUCAAAUGAGGUACAGCCCAUUUGACACAGGAUUCAACCUUUACUAACGGGUAACACUUGAUUCACACCUAAAAGUAGGCCUAAGAGCAGCCACCUUUUAAAAAGCGUCAAAGCUUAACUCUGUGAAUAUUAAAUUUUCAGACUCCUACUGACCCCUUUAACUGUACUGAGAACUUCUAUAAAUCUAUAGAACCUUUUCUGCUAAAACUAGUAACAAGAGGACUUCCUCUCCCUAAUGCAAGCUCAACCCAGCAAGAACCAAUCACUGGCAACUAACAGACAAAUGUAGCAACUUCACUAGAAAACCCUACUCUAACCCCUGUUAACCUAACACAAGAGCAUUUCAAGAAAGAUUAAAAGAAAAAGAAGGAAUUUCGCAAACACUAGCCUCGCCUGUUUACCAAAAACAUCGCCUCUUGACCCCCAUAAGAGGUCCAGCCUGCCCAGUGACCCCGUUCAACGGCCGCGGUAUCCUAACCGUGCAAAGGUAGCGUAAUCACUUGUCUUCUAAAUAAAGACCAGUAUGAAAGGCACCACGAGGGCUAAACUGUCUCCUUUCUCUAAUCAGUGAACCUAAUCCCCCCGUGAAGAAGCGGGGAUUCUAAUAUAAGACGAG